rnacentral:lncRNA from 1 species
UUUCUACUGUGGUCUCAAGGUGACACAUCAUUAGUCCAAUACUCUGACCAGCGGAAUGGUUUGAGAAAUUCUUAGCCUGAUAUUCUAAUCACAGGUUACUACAAUUCGUGGUGGGAUUUUUGUUAAGUGUGUCGGGAAAUUAAAUGAGUUCUUUCUGACGAGCGCUUGGAAUUGAUGUCGAUGGGUAAACAUUCCCUUUCCGGUUCCCUCGCCAACCCUCUUCGGCCUUAAUAGAGUUGGUACGAUGUGGGAUCAUUACACAACGUCCUUACCAAACAAAAAUGGCGGAUGGGACGUCUUUGAAGAAAGCAUCAAAAAGUGAACUGUUUUCGUGGGGGGCAAACAGCUAUGGACAACUUUGUUGUGGCCACAAGAACGAUGUCUCAUUUCCGGAAAACGUCGGUGCAAGUUGUCACCUAAAAAACAGUGUUGUAGCGGCGAUAGACGGAGGUGGAGGACAUACAGCAAUUAUCACAGGGAGGGAGUUUUUGAAAUCACAGGACCUGAAUCAGGUACUGUGGUAAACACCAAGUUAAGUACUAAGUUGGAUCUUUCCAUAUUCUUCUUCUUGUAGAUAAUUUUGUGCAUGUAAUUCAUCUGUAAGCAAGACGUCCACCCAUUUUCUUUGUUGUUCAAUGCAAUUUUCUCUCUCUUUCAUAGAGCGAGAGCCCACUGUGUUCCCAGCAAAUGCUGGCCUAAAAGUAACGCUCUGCUCCUGUACCAUACUUUUAACUGUGCUUUGGGGUAAAUAAAUAGCAUAGUUGCAUCCAUAGUCCUUCAUGGAAAAUCACAUAUCAUAUCUUUAAGAAAGGAGAAUCUGAUGCCCAAAAAUGAGUUUGUAGUUGCACAAGUAGAUGUUAAAUCCCUAAGUCAACUUGGUCAGCUCCAGAGCAUUACUUAUCACCAUUUUUCUGAUUAGCUUUAUUUUUAUUAUUAUUUCUUGCAUCCUUUGCCUUUUGCGUUAAUUUUCAAUAAAGUCUACAAGUCCUCAGCCUCUA